rnacentral:lncRNA from 1 species
GAAGAGCAAAACUUAUACAACUAUUCAACAAAAUUAUCCUUCAUACCAGUGAAAGUAAAUCUCCCAGCAGAAGAGACACAUAAGUAAAUGAAAAAAUUAUCUCCUGAUGACAAUGUGAAUUUCCAAAAUUGAAAUCAAAAUGUGUGCAUGCAUGUGCUAGUUUACACACUUGCUUUCACUUAGAUGUCCACAUGAUGUGCUCAUUUCUAUAGCCAUACAAAAUCACAUCCAAAGUAACUGAAGUCGUGAUAGGACCCAAGUAUAUCCGUUGCACAAAAUUCAAUAAAUCUCAGUUGACUGGUUGCCUAUGAUAUCAGACGAAUAUAGUUGAAAAAGACUUAUCAAAGAGACAGAGAGAGAGAGAGACAGAGAGAGGCAGGAAAUUUCAAAAUGGAUCUCUGUCUCCCUUACUGCAUGCAUUGCAACACACAGAGACAUGCAUAACCUGAGCCCGGAUCAAGGUCUGGUUUACAAAGGGUAGCUACUUUACAUCAAAAUUGAGUUUUGGCUUAUCAAUGGAAGGUCAAAGAACAUAUGAACUCAAAAUUGAGUUUUGGCUUAUCAAUGGAAGGUCAAAGAACAUAUGAACAUUGAUGAGGACUUACCAAGAACCUGUUGAGCAGUCAACCGCUUUUUGGGGUCUGACUCCAACAUCUGCCGGACUAGAC